rnacentral:rRNA from 1 species
UCUGCAGGUUGAUAUUUAAGUCUUUUGUUAAACCUCCGAGCUCAACUCUGGAACUGCCUUUGAUACUGGGUAUCUUGAGUAUGGAAGAGGUAAGUGGAAUUCCGAGUGUAGAGGUGAAAUUCGUAGAUAUUCGGAGGAACACCAGUGGCGAAGGCGGCUUACUGGUCCAUUACUGACGCUGAGGUGCGAAAGCGUGGGGAGCAAACA